GAACUGCGAAACGUAGUGUGAAUUGCAGAAUUCCGUGAACCAUCGAAUCUUUGAACGCAGAUUGCGCCCAAGGUUUCGGCCAAGGGCACGUUUCGCUCAGUGUCGGCACAACCCUUCACUCACUUCUGUGGGUGAGAUCUGGUAUUCCCUUUGCUAUGCUGAGGGUCUGCCGAAUGGCAUUGCCGGGUUCCUGAUAACCUGACGGCUUUGUCGAGCAAUUAUUUGUUGUCAAUAUCAGAGAUCCGAGCUCCCUUUACUCAAUCUUCGACCUGAGCUGAAGCGAGGCUACCCGCUGAACUUAA
rnacentral:misc_RNA from 1 species